UGCCAUCCGCCGCGGUAACACGGGGGGCGCAAGCGUUAUUCGGAAUCAUUGGGUGUAAAGGGUGCGUAGGUGGAUUAGUAAGUUGGAAUUUAAAUCCCGCAGCUUAACUGCGGACCUGGUUUCAAAACUGCUAAUCUUGAGUUCGAAAGAGGGGAGUGGAAUUCCUAGUGUAGCGGUGGAAUGCGUAGAUAUUAGGAGGAACACCAGUGGCGAAGGCGGCUCUCUGGUUCGAUACUGACACUAAGGCACGAAAGCGUGGGGAGCGAACAGGAUUAGAUA
rnacentral:rRNA from 1 species